CCCUCUGGCUCCUCUGCAUUUAAUCGAGAAAAUCUUUCGCCUUUUACUAAAGAUUUCCGUGCAAAGGUGCAUCUUAUGAGUAUCGAAUAAUUUUUUUUUGGAAUCCCCG
rfam:Necator americanus N_americanus-1.0_Cont140389.1, whole genome shotgun sequence.